rnacentral:rRNA from 1 species
AGGGAAUUUUCGGCAAUGGGGGAAACCCUGACCGAGCAACGCCGCGUGAAGGAAGAAGUAAUUCGUUAUGUAAACUUCUGUCAUAGAGGAAGAACGGUGGAUAUAGGGAAUGAUAUCCAAGUGACGGUACUCUAUAAGAAAGUCACGGCUAACUACGUGCCAGCAGCCGCGGUAAUACGUAGGUGGCGAGCGUUAUCCGGAAUUAUUGGGCGUAAAGAGGGAGCAGGCGGCACUAAGGGUCUGUGGUGAAAGAUCGAAGCUUAACUUCGGUAAGCCAUGGAAACCGUAGAGCUAGAGUGUGUGAGAGGAUCGUGGAAUUCCAUGUGUAGCGGUGAAAUGCGUAGAUAUAUGGAGGAACACCAGUGGCGAAGGCGACGAUCUGGCGCAUAACUGACGCUCAGUCCCGAAAGCGUGGGGAGCAAAUAGGAUUAGAUACCCUAGUAGUCCACGCCGUAAACCAUGAGUACUAAGUGUUGGGUGUCAAAGCUCAGUGCUGCAGUUAACGCAAUAAGUACUCCGCCUGAGUAGUACGUUCGCAAGAAUGAAACUCAAAGGAAUUGACGGGGGCCCGCACAAGCGGUGGAGCAUGUGGUUUAAUUCGAAGCAACGCGAAGAACCUUACCAGGUCUUGACAUCGAUCUAAAGGCUCCAGAGAUGGAGAGAUAGCUAUAGAGAAGACAGGUGGUGCAUGGUUGUCGUCAGCUCGUGUCGUGAGAUGUUGGGUUAAGUCCCGCAACGAGCGCAACCCCUGUUGCCAGUUGCCAGCAUUAAGUUGGGGACUCUGGCGAGACUGCCGGUGACAAGCCGGAGGAAGGCGGGGAUGACGUCAAAUCAUCAUGCCCCUUAUGACCUGGGCUACACACGUGCUACAAUGGACAGAGCAGAGGGAAGCGAAGCCGCGAGGUGGAGCGAAACCCAUAAAACUGUUCUCAGUUCGGACUGCAGUCUGCAACUCGACUGCACGAAGAUGGAAUCGCUAGUAAUCGCGAAUCAGCAUGUCGCGGUGAAUACGUUCUC